CCUACGGGUGGCAGCAGUCGAGAAUCAUUCACUCUGGGGGAAACCCUGAUGGUGCGACGCCGCGUGGGGGAAUGAAGGUCUUCUGAUUGUAAACCCCUGUCAUGUGGGAGCAAAUUAAAAAGAUAGUACCACAAGAGGAAGAGACGGCUAACUCUGUGCCAGCAGCCGCGGUAAUACAGAGGUCUCACGCGUUGUUCGGAACCACUGGGCGUAAGGCGUGCGUAGGCUGUUUCGUAAGUCGUGUGUGAAAGGCGCGGGCUCAACCCGCGGACGGCACAUGAUACUGCGAGACUAGAGUAAUGGAGGGGGAACCGGAAUUCUCGGUGUAGCAGUGAAAUGCGUAGAUAUCGAGAGGAACACUCGUGGCGAAGGCGGGUUCCUGGACAUUAACUGACGCUGAGGCACGAAGGCCAGGGGAGCGAAAGGGAUUAGAUACCCCAGUAGUC
rnacentral:rRNA from 1 species